rnacentral:rRNA from 1 species
GACGUAGGGUGCAAGCGUUAAUCGGAAUUACUGGGCGUAAAGCGUGCGCAGGCGGUCUAUUAAGACAGGUGUGAAAUCCCCGGGCUUAACCUGGGAACUGCGCUUGUAACUGAUAGGCUUGAGUGUGGCAGAGGGGGGUGGAAUUCCAGGUGUAGCAGUGAAAUGCGUAGAUAUCUGGAGGAACACCGAUGGCGAAGGCAGCCCCCUGGGCUAACACUGACGCUCAUGCACGAAAGCGUGGGGAGCAAACAGG